AACCCGCCUGUAUGAAGUUGGAAUACGCUAGUAAUCGCGGAUCAGCAUGACCGCGGUGAAUACGUUCCCGGGCCUUGUACACACCGCCCGUCACACCAUGAGAGUCGGGAACACCCGAAGUCCGUAGCCUAACCGCAAGGAGGGCGCGGCCGAAGGUGGGUUCGAUAAUUGGGGUGAAGUCGUAACAAGGUAAC
rnacentral:rRNA from 1 species